rnacentral:rRNA from 1 species
CGGGACGGGUGAGUAAUGUCUGGGUAAACUGCCUGAUGGACGGGGAUAACUACUGGAAACGGUAGCUAAUACCGCAUAACGUCGCAAGACCAAGAGGGGACCUUCGGGCCUCUUGCCAUCGGAUGUGCCCAGAUGGGAUUAGCUAGUAGGUGGGGUAACGGCUCACCUAGGCGACGAUCCCUAGCUGGUCUGAGAGGAUGACCAGCCACACUGGAACUGAGACACGGUCCAG